GGCAAAGCUCAAAUUUGAAACCUUCGGGAUUGUAAUUUGAAGAUUAAGGCAUUGGAGAAAGCUAACCCAAGUUGCUUGGAAUAGUACGUCAUAGAGGGUGACAACCCCGUCUGGCUAACCGUUCUCCAUGUAUUGCCUUAUCAAAGAGUCGAGUUGUUUGGGAAUGCAGCUCAAAGUGGGUGGUAAACUCCAUCUAAAGCUAAAUACUGGUGAGAGACCGAUAGCGAACAAGUACUGUGAAGGAAAGGUGAAAAGAACUUUGAAAAGAGAGUGAAAUAGUAUGUGAAAUUGUUGAUAGGGAAGGAAAUGAGUGGAGAGUGGUUGAGGUUUCAGCUUACCUUUGGGUAGGUGUAUUGCCAACGCCGAGUCAUUGACAGCGAGACGGCGGUU
rnacentral:rRNA from 1 species